UUAUGAGUCCAACUGGAGAGAGAGAGAGAGAGAGGGGAAGGGGAGCGACGCAUUAUUGCAGUAUAGUGCCAUCACACACACACAAACGAAACUAGUGCACAAACCGACACACAGAUACGCUUCCACACACUCACCGGGAGAGGGGGAACAACGGUGGUGUUAGAUAAUUCUGAAACUAGACCACGGGAAAAUAGUGAAAUUAUAUAAUUGGGUAAUGUAAAGGAAAGUGAAAUCAGUUGUGUUUAGCUUUUGAAGGGGAACGUGCAAUCUAAACAAUUGGUGUGAUUUUGAGCAUCUCGACUCAGCAUCUUUGGAGUAUCACGACUUCUCUUGCAUAGAUUUAUUAUUUAAAGAAAUUCGCCAAGCAUCCUUGGAUUUAUCCCUUAUGGAUUUUACGAACUGAAAUUGAGAAUCUGUGCAUCACCCGUAUUCACUUUCAACCUCUUAUACCGCUGCCUUUCUUCGAGCGAAUUAUUACCCGACGCUUGCCUGGGUAUUGCGGUACUCUGGUGAUGACUUGCGGUGCUAAAGCAUUGCUUUGAGGUUACUGCAUCAGCUUCUGCAUUCGUUUGUUAUUAACGCAUCAUUUUAAUCAGUCGAGUCUCUGAGGUUCUGGAUAUCUUUGGACGACAGCAGAGGUUUUUCCCAUUGCUUUUUUUGUGAUUUCGCUUUUUUCUUUUUUACUUCAGACCCUUCCCCCUUUCGUCUCUCGCGCUCUCUCUCUCGCCCCCCCACCGCUCACUGACAGUGAGUCAGUUCCAAGCAGCUGCAUAGAAGAUGUCUGCCCCAGAUGCUGCUCCCCCAGCUGGACCUCCCGGAGCCCCAGGGGCCCCAGGACCAGACGGAGCCCCAGGUGGAGGGCCCCCACCCCCUCCUCCCAACACCUCCAGCAACCGCAGGCUACAACAGACACAAGCCCAAGUGGAGGAGGUGGUGGAUAUUAUGCGGGUGAAUGUGGACAAGGUUCUGGAGAGGGACCAGAAGCUGUCGGAGCUGGAUGACAGAGCGGAUGCUCUCCAGGCCGGGGCCUCCCAGUUCGAGAGCUGUGCAGCCAAACUCAAGAGCAAAUACUGGUGGAAGAACGCAAAGGUAAUGACAGUGAUCAAUGAUUAUAUUGUCAUUCACAUUAGCAGACACUUUCAUCCAAAAGGACUUAAAAUUAUCACAUUCAGGAGAAUUGCAAGGUAAUGGUAAUAUUGAUCAUGAUAAUAAUAUGGUUAUUUAGCCAACUCUUUCUAUCCAAAGUGACAGUGUACUGUCAUAUAUUCAAGUUAACAUAUAUAUCCAGUGUACUGUAUGUGGCCCAUGGGGGAAUCAUUCAGAGCCACAACUGUGGUGGUGUUGCAACACCAGUACCAUGCUCCACCAACCAGUACCAUGCUCCACCAACCAGUACCAUACUCCACCAACCAGUACCAUGCUCCACCAACCAGUACCAUGCUCCACCAACCAGUACCAUGCUCCACCAACCAGUACCAUGCUCCACCAACCAGUACCAUGCUCUACCAAACCAGUACCAUGCUCCACCAACCAGUAUCACGCUCCACCAACCAGUACCACGCUCCACCAACCAGUACCACGCUCCACCAACCAGCACCACCCUCCACCAACCAGUACCAUGCUCCACCAACCAGUAGCAUGCUCCACCAACCAGUAGCAUGCUCCACCAACCAGUAGCAUGCUCAACCAACCAGUACCAUGCUCAACCAACCAGUACCAUGCUCAACCAACCAGUACCAUGCUCAACCAACCAGUACCACGCUCCACCAUCCAAUUGAGGUGCAGGGUGCUGAGGCGAACACACAGCAUCUGUCCCUGGAACGCUGUCACCCCCCUUUCCCGCGCACUAAUCCCCUAAUUAGCGUCUGUGGGCGAGAGGAGCGGCGCUCCGGGGAAUGGGGAAUAGGGAGGCUCUCACUGCAGAGUUUUCUCUACAUGCAGUUAUUCUUAUUAAUUGCAUAGCAAUAGCACCAAAAAUACACUGACUGGACACAAGGGAGUGUGAUGAAAUGUUACGCUCUGCUUUUUGUGUUUUUCAUCAUGCUGGGUUGGUGUGUGUGUGUGUGUGUUUUUGGUCAGCAGGACUAACGUUAAUCCGCAGAGACUUCAUCCCUGAAUAAAAAAACACAUGUUUAAUCACCCGAGGAAAAUCUAUCAGGUUUAUUAACUAGAAGAAUAGAAGAAUAAAGAAAGCCUUUAACUCCCCAUUUGCUUUUCUUUCCAGAUGAUGAUCAUUAUGGGUAUCAUUGGAGUUCUUGUGGUCGGAGUCCUUUUCUUGUACUUCUUCUAUUGAGUAAUCCCACCGUGGCAGGACACAGACAUGAGAGCGGAAUAGGAGAGAAGAAGAAAACAAAAUCGACACAAAUCCAAACUCCUGUCCCGCCCCCUUUUCCUCCACACCAGGUCUUCCAUCUAGCACUUAAACAUGACGCUAGUGUGUAGAUGUUGUUGCUCUCUUUUCUCUUUGUCCUCCUGCCCUUCCCUUCUCUUUGAUCCAUAUUUCUUCCUCUGUUUUGGUGUGCUGUCUCACUCACUCUCUCCUGCCUCUGCGUCUCAUACAUUAUUGAAGUGUGCAGUAGGGAAAGAGAGAGAGAGAGAGAGAAAGCAGGAAGAAGUGAAAGAGAGAGCAUGGAGAAAGAGAGAGUGAGUGCAAUGAAAGAGCGCAGCAGUUCUUUCUAUCCGCCAAAGCUUGUUCGUGUUACCUUUUGGAGAGCAUACCACAUUUGUAAAUUGAUACUGACAUACAGUACCUAACAACCCCUCCUGAUCCCCUACCUCAUACCACUACCAUUAUAAACACUACUUACUAAUACAAGGUCAUGUUUAAGAGUAUGAUCAUUUUGUCAUGUGUGUGUGUGUACUUGUGAUCCAAAUCAGUGUAGCCAGUAGCUUUUUCCAGGUUUAGUUGAUGUAGGCCUUGACGGGCAUUCCUGCCUUUUCCUUUACCUCCCUCUUUCUCUCACUCGCUGACUGUGGUGUUUAAGAGAGAGAUAGAGAGAGAAUAAGAAAAGCCAGGAAGGAUACUGGAAAAGGCAGAAACCACUUUUGGGACACUGACUUUUAGUAUAUCUUUAUUCUUGUACCACAGACAGACAGACGGACAGUUAGCUAGAUUGACAUUGACAGACAGAAACAGACAAUCUGUACCUACAUAAAGUAUUCUUUCAGGAGUGCAGACAAAAGUCUAUACAGCAUUAACUCUGGACACACCUAAAGGCAGGUCUGUGUAAUAACACUGCAUAGUACAUUUUUGAUUGAUUAGUGAGCAGCUUUACUGUGUUGUGGUUGUGUUCAGACACUCUUGUACGUUCUAGUAGAGAGGGUACAGGGUUAGGGAGGAAUGGUUCAAUAGACUGUCCCCUAUCUGGAGAGGACAUAACCAAAUAACCCCCCAAAUAACCCACUUCCUGCACAUCAAACCAACAAAAACACACAGUUAUCUACAGUAGACUUUAGGCUGUUACCUACAAUAGCCUAUAGGCCCAAAUGGAAGUAGUGUUUGUGUCUUACUUGACUUGCAUGGCAGACGAUGUCCAUAGUUUUGCCUAUUUGUGUGACCUAUGUAUCUGCCAUUUCUGAAACUGCCGAUUGUACAUUUAUUUUAUUUGGUUUAGUGGUUUUCAGGACCUGUGUAUAGGCUACUGUAUCUAUGCGCUCAAUUAGUAACUCAUGCGUAUGCAAUGCAAUGAAGCUCAAGAGUUUGCCAAAUUUUUGUUGCCAGAGAACAAUGGUUGCUACAGUAGUAUUCUGACGGGGAAAAAACGAAAACCAUAGUACCGUACAAGUAGUACCAUAAAGUACUUCAUCUUUGCCAGACUAUUGCUCCUGAAAAUAUGUUUUUUAGUAGGUUUAUAUUUUACUCUUGGUGUUGGAUAUUCGAGAAAAUAUAAUUUUCCUCUCAAUGGUUGAUAAAGAGGGACUGUUUGACACAUUGUAAAAAAAAGAAAAGAAAAAUAGCUAUGUGUAAAUUGCAUUUAUGAAUGAAAAUAGUGGUGAUUCCUCAAAACAAUGAUCUAAUAAUAUUGUGCAAUAAUAUUAUUAGGUAAAUAAAUUAUACAACAUGAUAAUACUGGGAGAGAUACAACUGGAUCAUGAGAAUUCUUUAAACGCAUGCUUACCACUUGAUGCUAAUAAACAAAAUCAUCAACA